UACAGAGGGUGCAAGCGUUAAUCGGAAUUACUGGGCGUAAAGCGAGCGUAGUCGGUUAUUUAAGUCGGGUGUGAAAGCCCCGGGCUCAACCUGGGAAUUGCAUUCGAUACUGGAUAGCUAGAGUUCGGCAGAGGGAAGCGGAAUUUCCGGUGUAGCGGUGAAAUGCGUAGACAUCGGAAGGAACAUCAGUGGCGAAAGCGGCUUCCUGGACCAGAACUGACGAUCAGGCUCGAAAGCGUGGGGAGCAAACAGG
rnacentral:rRNA from 1 species